rnacentral:rRNA from 1 species
GUUUUUUUGAUAAUAAUUUAAAGUCAAAUCUCCCCCCUGUUUUUUUUAAAGGGGCGCAGUAAAUUGACUGUACAAAGGUAGCAUAGUAAUUAGUCUUUUAAUUGAAGACUUGUAUGAAUGAUUUAAUGAAAUAUGAACUGUCUCUUUUUUAUAAUUAGAAAUUAAUUUUUUAGUAAAAAAGCUAAAAUUUUUUUAAAAGACGAGAAGACCCUAUAGAGUUUUAUAUUUAAUUUAAUUAUAGUUUUUUAUUAAUAUUAAAUAAAAAUUAAAUUAAAUAUUUUAUUGGGGUGAUAGAAAAAUAUAAUAAACUUUUUUUAAAUAUAUAUAUAUAUAUGUAUAUAACCAUUAAUUUAUGAAAUUAUGAUCCAUAAUUUAUGAUUAAAAGAAAAAAUUACCUUAGGGAUAACAGCGUAAUUUUUUUUUUUAGUUCAAAUAAAAAGAAAAGUUUGCGACCUCGAUGUUGGAUUAAAAUAAAAUUUAAAUGUGGAAAUUUAAAAUUUUUGAUCUGUUCGAUCAUUAAAAUCUUACA